AGUGAACGCUGGCGGUAGGCCUAACACAUGCAAGUCGAACGGCAGCACAGUAAGAGCUUGCUCUUACGGGUGGCGAGUGGCGGACGGGUGAGGAAUACAUCGGAAUCUACUUUUUCGUGGGGGAUAACGUAGGGAAACUUACGCUAAUACCGCAUACGACCUACGGGUGAAAGCAGGGGAUCUUCGGACCUUGCGCGAUUGAAUGAGCCGAUGUCGGAUUAGCUAGUUGGCGGGGUAAAGGCCCACCAAGGCGACGAUCCGUAGCUGGUCUGAGAGGAUGAUCAGCCACACUGGAACUGAGACACGGUCCAGACUCCUAAGGGAGGCAGCAGUGGGGAAUAUUGGACAAUGGGCGCAAGCCUGAUCCAGCCAUACCGCGUGGGUGAAGAAGGCGUUCGGGUUGUAAAGCCCUUUUGUUGGGAAAGAAAAGCAGCAGGUUAAUACCCCGCUGUUCUGACGGUACCCAAAGAAUAAGCACCGGCUAACUUCGUG
rnacentral:rRNA from 1 species